AGGACGAACGCUGGCGGCGCGCUUAACACAUGCAAGUCGAACGCUCGUAGCAAUACGGGAGUGGCAGACGGGUGAGUAACGCGUGGGAACAUACCCUCCGGUUCGGAAUAGCUCAGGGAAACUUGGAUUAAUACCGGAUACGGCUGAGAGGCGAAAGAUUUAUCGCCGGAGGAUUGGCCCGCGUUCGAUUAGCUUGUUGGUGAGGUAACGGCUCACCAAGGCGAUGAUCGAUAGCUGGUCUGAGAGGAUGAUCAGCCACAUUGGGACUGAGACACGGCCCAAACUCCUACGGGAGGCAGCAGUGGGGAAUAUUGGACAAUGGGCGCAAGCCUGAUCCAGCCAUGCCGCGUGGGUGAUGAAGGCCCUAGGGUUGUAAAGCCCUUUCGGCGGGAAGAUAAUGACGGUACCCGCAGAAGAAGCCCGGCUAACUUCGUGCCAGCAGCCGC
rnacentral:rRNA from 1 species